CACGUAGUUAGCCGUGGCUUUCUGAUUAGGUACCGUCAAGACGUGCACAGUUACUUACACAUUUGUUCUUCCCUAAUAACAGAGUUUUACGAUCCGAAGACCUUCAUCACUCACGCGGCGUUGCUCCGUCAGGCUUUCGCCCAUUGCGGAAGAUUCCCUACUGCUGCCUCCCGUAGGAGCCUGGACCGUGUCUCAGUUCCAGUGUGGCCGAUCACCCUCUCAGGUCGGCUACGUAUCGUUGCCUUGGUAAGCCAUUACCCCACCAACUAGCUAAUACGGCGCGGGUCCAUCUAUAAGUGAUAGUAAAACCAUCUUUCACUUUAGAACCAUGCGGUUCUAAAUAUUAUCCGGCAUUAGCCCCGGUUUCCCGGAGUUAUUCCCAGUCUUAUAGGUUACGGUUACCCACGUUGUUACUCCACCCGGUUCCGACCGGCCUAAACGUCAAAAGGACGACAACGCUCCUUAUCCUGUUCGCUCGACUUGCAUGUAUUACGGCACGCCGCCAGCGUUCAUCCUGACGCCAGGACUCGAAACU
rnacentral:rRNA from 1 species